CACGUAGGGUGCGAGCGUUGUCCGGAAUUAUUGGGCGUAAAGAGCUCGUAGGCGGUGUGUCGCGUCGGCCGUGAAAACCUGCAGCUUAACUGUGGGCGUGCGGUCGAUACGGGCAUCACUGGAGUUCGGCAGGGGAGACUGGAAUUCCUGGUGUAGCGGUGAAAUGCGCAGAUAUCAGGAGGAACACCCGUGGCGAAGGCGGUUCUCUGGGACGGUACUGACGCUGAGACGCGAAAGCGUGGGGAGCGAACAGG
rnacentral:rRNA from 1 species